UGACAGUCGAGCGGAAGAAGGGAGCUUGCUCCCGGAUGUUAGCGGCGGACGGGUGAGUAACACGUGGGUAACCUGCCUGUAAGACUGGGAUAACUCCGGGAAACCGGAGCUAAUACCGGAUAGUUCCUUGAACCGCAUGGUUCAAGGAUGAAAGACGGUUUCGGCUGUCACUUACAGAUGGACCCGCGGCGCAUUAGCUAGUUGGUGGGGUAAUGGCUCACCAAGGCGACGAUGCGUAGCCGACCUGAGAGGGUGAUCGGCCACACUGGGACUGAGACACGGCCCAGACUCCUACGGGAGGCAGCAGUAGGGAAUCUUCCGCAAUGGACGAAAGUCUGACGGAGCAACGCCGCGUGAGUGAUGAAGGUUUUCGGAUCGUAAAGCUCUGUUGUUAGGGAAGAACAAGUGCGAGAGUAACUGCUCGCACCUUGACGGUACCUAACCAGAAAGCCACGGCUAACUACGUGCCAGCAGCCGCGGUAAUACGUAGGUGGCAAGCGUUGUCCGGAAUUAUUGGGCGUAAAGGGCUCGCAGGCGGUUUCUUAAGUCUGAUGUGAAAGCCCCCGGCUCAACCGGGGAGGGUCAUUGGAAACUGGGAAACUUGAGUGCAGAAGAGGAGAGUGGAAUUCCACGUGUAGCGGUGAAAUGCGUAGAGAUGUGGAGGAACACCAGUGGCGAAGGCGACUCUCUGGUCUGUAACUGACGCUGAGGAGCGAAAGCGUGGGGAGCGAACAGGAUUAGAUACCCUGG
rnacentral:rRNA from 1 species